rnacentral:lncRNA from 1 species
AAAAAUAUGGAAUUAUAGCGUGUCGACGAAAUAACCUCAAAAAAUGCAAGAUUAUCAUCAGUAUGUAGCAAACACCCUCACUGCUAGAUGAGGGCCUGCUAGAGAGCCUUACCGAUGAAUCCCAGGACGAAGCACAUCCCUUGUUUACGUUCCUGCUACCUGCUACAUAUCAUAGCGCGACGGUCAUCAGGCCCCACUAGACAGCACCGUAGGAACCAACAAGAAAAUAAACCCUGGUAAAAGGCGACCCCCACAAGUAUAAUACAACCAGCAUUGAUAAAGGAAGGGAUGAAAGGAUGGAAAUGAUAUUAGAUCCGUGAGAGUGCUUUUCCUUCAAUAAUGACACUGAAAGAGUAACAAAACAGUAUAAGAGGUUCCAUUCGUGAGCAGAUCUAGCCUACAAACGAAGCAGGUUGGGACCCAUUAAACGUAUAUUCUCUCUCAAAUUGAUUAUACACACACAUACACACACGUACACUUGAAUCUCGUCGAAAGAACGAAUUCGAUGAAUAUACAACUCGGGUGUUCCCUGAAUUGCAUCGCAUAUCGAGCCAGUGAAUCGAACGAAGAAAAGGAAGAUUAAAAUCUGUUAAUUCCACGCUUUACGAUGCAUCGAAGAGUAACACGAUUGUGUUUUAAGUACAUCGUCGAUUGAACUCUGUAGAGUAUCCAACGGCAUCGAACAGGCACGGUUGAAUGAGCCAAGUAUUUUUCAUUACGAUUUCCUUUGAAAGUAUUUACAAGGUAGCCAGAGUCGAAGGAAUAUGAUGGAAAUACAUGGAACGGAAAAGAGUGGAUGCAAGAGUGGCAGGGGUGAAGGGUGCACGUUAAAUGGGGGGCUGGAGCGGAACGGCGCAUUCGGAGAAUGCCAGGCUAUCAGGAACGUCGCAAGCUUCUUAGCAUCAGCGGAGAAUAAAUCGUGCGAGAAGAAAGAGGAACUCGACGGUUGACGCUGUCGCGAAAUAAUACAUCUCGGUGUAAAGGGGCUGCAUAAAUAAGAGCCGCAGCGGCGCUAGUGUCGCGGCAAGCGAGGCCAGUCACGCCAGAAGCGUCGCUUCAAUUUAUCAACUGUCGAGUGAACGCCUUCCAAGAGUUUUACUCUUCUUUAAUCUACGAACCAACUAUCGACCAGUAUCGAACAAGUUUCAAUUCAUUCGUGUUUGGAGGCACCACAAUGGAAGCUGGGUAAUAGCGGUACAGCAUUCGAGAGGCAACA